GGGCACAUGGUGUAGUUGGUUAUCACGCUCGCUUAGCAUUUAAAGAAUGCGAGAGGUGCUGGGUUCAAUUCCCAGUGUGUCCA
rnacentral:tRNA from 1 species